AGCGAACGCUGGCGGCAGGCUUAACACAUGCAAGUCGAGCGGGCACUUCGGUGUCAGCGGCAGACGGGUGAGUAACACGUGGGAACGUACCCUUUGGUUCGGAAUAACGCUGGGAAACUAGCGCUAAUACCGGAUACGCCCUUUUGGGGAAAGGCUUGCUGCCGAAGGAUCGGCCCGCGUCUGAUUAGCUAGUUGGUGGGGUAAUGGCCUACCAAGGCGACGAUCAGUAGCUGGUCUGAGAGGAUGAUCAGCCACACUGGGACUGAGACACGGCCCAGACUCCUACGGGAGGCAGCAGUGGGGAAUAUUGGACAAUGGGCGCAAGCCUGAUGCAGCCAUGCCGCGUGAGUGAUGAAGGCCUUAGGGUUGUAAAGCUCUUUUGUCCGGGACGAUAAUGACGGUACCGGAAGAAUAAGCCCCGGCUAACUUCGUG
rnacentral:rRNA from 1 species